rnacentral:sRNA from 1 species
CUUUAGCCCUGAUGGAAGCGACAUCCUUUUAUUCUGGUGUUCAGAAUAAAAGAUAUAGCGCACAGCAGGAAGGAUG